rnacentral:lncRNA from 1 species
CAAGGAAAAUAAGAUUGAAUCAAACUUAUUUAAGAAAAUAUAUCUAACUUCAAAUUUAAGUCAUGUAAAUGCUCCAUUAAUGAGCCAUGUAAAUGCUCCAUUAAUGUAGAGAGAGAAAGAGAAAGAUUGUUAAGGAUAGUGGGGAGGUGUAGGGUAUUUUUGGAAUAAAAGAAAAUAGUGGGGAGGUGUAGAAUAUUUUUGAAAUAAAUUAAAUUAAUGGGGAGGUACAGGUCCCACUUGGGGAGG